rnacentral:rRNA from 1 species
CCAACUCCUACGGGAGGCAGCAGUGGGGAAUCUUCCGCAAUGGGCGCAAGCCUGACGGAGCAACGCCGCGUGAGUGAAGAAGGUCUUCGGAUCGUAAAGCUCUGUUGAUGGGGACGAACGUGCCUAAUGCGAAUAGUUUUAGGCAAUGACGGUACCCAUCGAGGAAGCCACGGCUAACUACGUGCCAGCAGCCGCGGUAAUACGUAGGUGGCGAGCGUUGUCCGGAAUCAUUGGGCGUAAAGGGAGCGCAGGCGGGCAUGUAAGUCUUUCUUAAAAGUGCGGGGCUCAACCCCGUGAUGGGAAAGAAACUAUGUGUCUUGAGUACAGGAGAGGAAAGCGGAAUUCCCAGUGUAGCGGUGAAAUGCGUAGAUAUUGGGAGGAACACCAGUGGCGAAGGCGGCUUUCUGGACUGCAACUGACGCUGAGGCUCGAAAGCCAGGGGAGCGAACGGGAUUAGAUACCCCGGUAGUCCUGGCCGUAAACGAUGGAUACUAGGUGUAGGAGGUAUCGACCCCUUCUGUGCCGGAGUUAACGCAAUAAGUAUCCCGCCUGGGGAGUACGGUCGCAAGACUGAAACUCAAAGGAAUUGACGGGGGCCCGCACAAG